UACGAAGGGGGCAAGCGUUGUUCGGAAUUACUGGGCGUAAAGCGCACGUAGGCGGCUUUGUAAGUUAGAGGUGAAAGCCCGGGGCUCAACUCCGGAAUUGCCUUUAAGACUGCAUCGCUAGAAUUGUGGAGAGGUAAGUGGAAUUCCGAGUGUAGAGGUGAAAUUCGUAGAUAUUCGGAAAGAACACCAGUGGCGAAGGCGACUUACUGGACACAUAUUGACGCUGAGGUGCGAAAGCGUGGGGAGCAAACAGGG
rnacentral:rRNA from 1 species